rnacentral:rRNA from 1 species
UACGUAGGGUGCAAGCGUUAUCCGGAAUUAUUGGGCGUAAAGAGCUCGUAGGCGGUUUGUCGCGUCUGCUGUGAAAACUGGGGGCUCAACCCCCAGCCUGCAGUGGGUACGGGCAGACUAGAGUGCGGUAGGGGAGAUUGGAAUUCCUGGUGUAGCGGUGGAAUGCGCAGAUAUCAGGAGGAACACCGAUGGCGAAGGCAGGUCUCUGGGCUGUAACUGACGCUGAGGAGCGAAAGCAUGGGGAGCGAACAGG